GGGGAAUAUUGCACAAUGGGCGCAAGCCUGAUGCAGCCAUGCCGCGUGUGUGAAGAAGGCCUUCGGGUUGUAAAGCACUUUCAGCGAGGAGGAAGGGUAGUGUGUUAAUAGCACAUUGCAUUGACGUUACUCGCAGAAGAAGCACCGGCUAACUCCGUGCCAGCAGCCGCGGUAAUACGGAGGGUGCAAGCGUUAAUUGGAAUUACUGGGCGUAAAGCGCACGCAGGCGGUUUGUUAAGUCAGAUGUGAAAUCCCCGCGCUUAACGUGGGAACUGCAUUUGAAACUGGCAAGCUAGAGUCUUGUAGAGGGGGGUAGAAUUCCAGGUGUAGCGGUGAAAUGCGUAGAGAUCUGGAGGAAUACCGGUGGCGAAGGCGGCCCCCUGGACAAAGACUGACGCUCAGGUGCG
rnacentral:rRNA from 1 species